rnacentral:rRNA from 1 species
AUUGAACGUUGGCGGCAGGCCUAAAACAUGCAAGUCGAACGGAAACAGUGGAAGCUUGCUUCCAGCUGUCGAGCGGCGAACGGGUGAGUAACGCGUAGGAAUCUACCCAGUAGUGGGGGACAACCCGGGGAAACCCGGGCUAAUACCGCAUACGCUCUGCGGAGGAAAGCGGGGGACAUUCGGUCCUCGCGCUAUUGGAUGAGCCUGCGUCGGAUUAGCUAGUUGGUAGGGUACAGGCCUCCCGAGGCGACGCUCCGUAGCUGGUCUGAGAGGACGAUCAGCCACACUGGAACUGAGACACGGUCCAGACUCCUACGGGAGGCAGCAGUUAGGAAUCUUGGGCAAUGGGCGCAAGCCUGACCCAGCCAUGCCGCGGGUGUGAAGAAGGCCUUAUGGUUGUAAAGCACUUUAAGCGAGGAGGAGGCUACUGAGACUAAUACUCUUGGAUAGUGGACGUUACUCGCAGAAUAAGCACCGGCUAACUCUGUGCCAGCAGCCGCCGUAAGAC